UACGUAGGGACCAAGCGUUGUUCGGAUUUACUGGGCGUAAAGGGCGCGUAGGCGGCGCGGUAAGUCACUUGUGAAAUCUCUGAGCUUAACUCAGAACGGCCAAGUGAUACUGCAGUGCUAGAGUGUGGAAGGGGCAAUCGGAAUUCUUGGUGUAGCGGUGAAAUGCGUAGAUAUCAAGAGGAACACCUGAGGUGAAGACGGGUUGCUGGGACGUGACUGACGCUGAGACGCGAAAGCGUGGGGAGCAAACAGG
rnacentral:rRNA from 1 species